AAUCAACGCUGGCGGCGUGCCUAACACAUGCAAGUCGAACGCGAAAGGGACUUCGGUUCUUAGUAGAGUGGCGUACGGGUGAGUAACGCGUGGGUAAUCUACCCUUGGGUGGGAAUAACUAAUCGAAAGGUUAGCUAAUACCGCAUAAUACAGUGAUGUCAAAACAAGUAAUGUGCCCGAGGAGGAGCCUGCGUCUGAUUAGGUAGUUGGUGGGGUAACGGCCGUACCAAGCCUGCGAUCAGUAGCUGGUCUGAGAGGACGGCCAGCCACAAUGGCACUGAAACACGGGCCAUACUCCUACGGGAGGCGAGCAGUGGGGAAGUUUUGCGCAAUGGGCGAAAGCCUGACGCAGCAACGCCGCGUGAGGGAU
rnacentral:rRNA from 1 species